rnacentral:lncRNA from 1 species
UCCCUUUAUAGCAAUAGCUUUACAUGUAUUGUUUGUUUAUUAAAAGCCAGCGUCAAAUGAAUAUUCAGGUAUAAAAGAAGAUGUGGUGUUAUUGCCAAUGAGACAAUUGUCAACAAGAGACCAAAAUGACACAGAAAUUAACAUCUAUAGGUCACCGUACGGCCUUCAACAUUGAGCAAAGACCAUACCGCAUAGUCAGCUAUAAAAGGCCCCGAAAUGACAAUGUAAACAAUUCAAACGAGAAAACUAACGGCCUUAUUUAUGCUCUAUUUUUAAUCCACAAAGCAUGUUAUUUGUGAUACAUGUAUUAAAAGCAAAUGGUGAAGAAGAUUAUGGAGCAUCUGUUUUGUGUGGUUUUUGUUUUUGUUUAAAUGAACAAGACAUUCAAACUGUGAGAACUUAGGCAUCUAAAUGUAGGAAAAACAGGCAGAACUUAGGAUCGACACAUAGAAACAAAUUUUAGAGGAAGCUUGCAUUUGGUGUAAUAUUCUCAUAGCAAUUCCACAUGGUAAAAAAGGAAAGGGAAACCCGAAAAACAUAAUGACAAUUGUUUAUAAAAAAAGUCUGAAAAAGAAUAUCGCCUGACUACAAAACAUGGUAUCUUUCUUGCUCGAACCGGUUCACGGUUGCAAAUUCCCAUCUUUUGUUGGGGG